rnacentral:rRNA from 1 species
UACGGAGGGGGCUAGCGUUAUUCGGAAUUAUUGGGCGUAAAGGGCGCGUAGGCGGCCCGGUAAGUCAAAGGUGAAAUCCCUCGGCUCAACUGAGGAACUGCCUUUGAAACUGUCGGGCUUGAGGCCGGAGGGGGUAGCGGAAUUCCCAGUGUAGCGGUGAAAUGCGUAGAUAUUGGGAGGAACACCGGUGGCGAAGGCGGCUACCUGGACCGGUUCUGACGCUGAUGCGCGAAAGCGUGGGUAGCAAACAGG